UACGUAGGGGGCAAGCGUUGUCCGGAUUUACUGGGCGUAAAGAGCGUGUAGGCGGCCACGCAGGUCCGUUGUGAAAACUGGAGGCUCAACUUCCAGCCGUCGACGGAAACCGUGUGGCUAGAGUCCGGAAGAGGAGAGUGGAAUUCCUGGUGUAGCGGUGAAAUGCGCAGAUAUCAGGAGGAACACCGGUGGCGAAGGCGGGUCUCUGGGCCGUAACUGACGCUGAGGAGCGAAAGCGUGGGGAGCGAACAGG
rnacentral:rRNA from 1 species